AUUUCUACGACCAAACGCCUGCCAAAAAAGAAUAGUGGAAAUUUUGCAGUAUUUAAUUACCAAGAAAGGUCAUCUCUCUCUUUCUGUUUUUCAUUCUGUUGCGCCCUUUACUUUGACCAGAAUUACAGACUAGAUGAAGAUUGAUGAAGGUUUCAUGGGCUUUUAUGACUAUGAGGCAGGAUUGGCAAUUAAAUCAGAGGAUGAAGCCUGUCCAUUUUUCCCUGAUCCGAAUCUUAUGAAUAAUCUCAGAGUUAGUGAUAAUUUAGUCAACAGUAAUGCUGACAUUAGUCCAUUUCAAUCUGUUGUGGAACUAUAUACUGAAGCUCGUUCAUUUUUCCCUGAUCCGAAUCUGAUUAAUAAUCUCAGAGUUGGUGAUAAUUUAGUCAACAGGAAUGUUGACAUUAGUUCAUUUCAAUCUGUUACGGAACCAAAUACUGAAGCCCGUUCAUUUUUCCCUGAUCAGAAUCUGAUUAGUAAUCUCCGAGUUAGUGAUAGUUUAGUCGACAGCAAUGUUGGCAUCAGUCAAUUUCAAUCUGAUGUGGAACCAAAUGCUUUUGUCCCAUCGACUGCAGAUGAUGCCUUUCACGAGGAUUAUGAUUUCAGUGAUGUGGUGCUUAAGUAUAUAAAUCAAAUGCUUAUGGAAGAGGACAUUGAAGAAAAGAAUUGCAUGUUUCAAGAGCCUGCAGCUCUUCAAGCUGCAGAAAGAUUGUUUUAUGAUCUUAUCGGACAGAAGUACCCUCCCCAAAAUCACGAGAAACCAUCCAAUUUAGGUCAGAAUGGACAUUAUACUGACCAUAGCAGUUUUUCCUAUAGUGAAUAUGAUGGUAGUGAUGACGUGUCACAUGUGCCUCAUGUUACUGAUGGUGUUGCUUUGCAUUCAACUUCUCGGUCAUCCUAUAGUUCGUCUGGCAAUUUAGGUCAACAUGGACAUUAUACUGCGGACCAUAGCAGUUUUUACUGUAGCAGAAAUGAUGGUCGUAGUGAUGGCUUAUUAUGCCCAAAUUGGAAUCUUGAUCUCGGUGAGGAUGAUGUGUCACAUGUUUCCGAUGAUGUUGCUUUGCAUUCAACUUCUCGGUCGUCCUACAGUUCGUCAGGUACUAUCACGGAUGUGCAUGUGGAUUCUCCUGUGAUCACAGAAAGGGUUCCCGACAUAUUUAGCGACAGAGAGUCUAUUAUGCAGUUUAAGAAAGGGGUGGAGGAGGCAAGUAAGUUCCUUCCUACGGGCAAUAGCUUGCUUGCUGAUGUGAGAUAUAAUGUAGCGGGAAAGGAGCAGUAUGAAGAGAGAAAAGAUGCAGUACUAAAGUAUGGGCAAAAACAAUCUCCCGAAAGGUCGAGAGGGAAGAAAAAUACCCUUCAUGAAGAUGUAGUAGAUUCAACAGAAGGGAAAAAUAACAAGCAAUCUGCAGUGUUUUCUGAAUCAAUUGUUCGAUCAGAAAUGUUUGAUAGCGUGCUCUUAUGCAAUGCAGGAAAAAAUGAAUCUGCUCUUCGUGAGACCUUUCAGGCUAUAUCAAGGCAAAAUGCAUUAGAGAAUGGCCCUUCAAAGGGAUCUAAUGGCAAGAAGUUACAAGGAAAGAAAAAAAGGGGUAAAAGAGAUGUAGUAGACUUGAGAACUCUCCUUACAAAUUGUGCACAAGCUGUUGCUGCAGGUAAUCAAAGAACAGCAAAUGAGCUUCUGAAGCAGAUCAGGCAAAGUUCUUCUCCUUUGGGUGAUGGGAUGCAGAGGCUGGCCCAUUAUUUCGCUGAUGGGCUUGAAGCCCGGAUGGCUGGUUCCGGUACUCAUAUUUAUAAAGCCCUUAUUACACGGCCCGUAUCAGCAUCUGAUGUAUUGAAAGCUUACCACCUACUGCUUGCUGCCUGCCCGUUUCGGACGAUGUCUAGCUUUUUCUCGAAUAAGACAAUUAUGAAUCUAGCUGAAAAGGCUUCGACAGUACAUAUUAUAGAUAUUGGCAUUAUGUGGGGUUUCCAAUGGCCUGGUCUAAUACAACGUCUCUCUUCUAGACUAGGUGGACCCCUCAAGCUUCGUAUAACCGGGAUUGAUUUUCCGCAUCCUGGUUUCCGACCAGCAGAGAGAGUUGAGGAAACGGGGAGACGGUUAGCUAAUUAUGCUGAGAGCUUCAAUGUUCCUUUCGAGUUCAAUGCUAUAGCGCAGAAGUGGGAAACGGUUAAACUUGAGGAUCUUAAGAUCAAUAAGGGUGAGGUUCUUGUGGUAAACUGUCUGUACCGUUUUAGGAAUCUACUUGAUGAGACUGUGGUGGUGAAUAGUCCAAGAGAUGUUGUUCUGAAUCUUAUCAGGCAGUUGAAUCCAGAUGUUUUCAUACAGGGGAUUGUAAAUGGUGGUUAUAAUGUCCCAUUCUUUAUCUCACGAUUCCGCGAGGCUAUUUUUCACUACUCGUCGUUGUUUGAUAUGCUUGAUGCUAUUAUUCCCCGGGAAGUACAUGAGAGAAUGCUGGUUGAAAAGAAUAUACUUGGUCGGGAGGCAAUGAAUGUCAUCGCGUGCGAAGGUGCUGAGAGAAUUGAGAGGCCAGAAACAUACAAGCGGUGGCAAGUCCGAAUUAUGAAGGCUGGUUUUCGACAGCUUCCUUUGGAUGAGGAGAUCAUGAGAAUGACAACAGAACGGUUCAAGGUGUUUGACAAGAACUUCGGGAUUGAUGUAGAUAGUGAAUGGCUACUGCAGGGAUGGAAGGGUCGUAUCGGAUAUGCACUUUCAACAUGGAAGGCAGCUUAUUAAAUUUGUUUACGUUCAGCAGCCAUGAUAUCUCUCUGCCCCUUGUAAACAAUGAGCUGAUGAAUGCUAUGAUGAUUUUCUUAUUCCUCAGAUGUCAGAGCAGAAUUUCUUGUUUUGGCUUCUUAAUUGAUGGACAAGUGCACGAGAUGUUUUUACUAGAUGUCCUAUGUUUACUUUAUAUAAUGUAAUUUUUUGAUGACCAAGUACAUUGAACAAGAUUUUUGUGUUGUCAAGUGUAUACAUGAUAAAAUAUAGCUUGACACAUGGCAUGACGAGAAGGGAACACGUGGCAUUUGAAGGCGAAAUGCCGCUUAGUCAUUUAACUUGGUUGGAACGAGAGACCCCGGUUAACCCCGGAGCAAACUUGUCAAGUCAAUUGUUUCGGGUCAUUUAUUAAAGAUAAACGUUGUGUGACCGGUCGGGGUUCAAAGCAGACGUUACGACUUAAAAUUACAACAACAUUUAUUAUCUAUUAUUACUCAUUAUUAGAAUUUAAUUACAGAUUAAGUGCUGAUGUAUUUUGUACUAUAAAAGGAGCCUGAAGGCCUCUAAAAAAGAUCAUCAAAUAACAACAACUUACACA